rnacentral:rRNA from 1 species
GAUGAACGCUAGCGGCAGGCCUAACACAUGCAAGUCGAGGGGCAGCACAGAAACAGCAAUGUUUUGGUGGCGACCGGCGGACGGGUGCGUAACGCGUAUGCAACCUACCUUUAACGGGGGGAUAACGGAGAGAAAUUUCCACUAAUACCCCAUAACAUCGAUCAAGGCAUCUUGAUUGGUUAAAAACUCCGGUGGUUAAAGAUGGGCAUGCGUUGUAUUAGGUAGUUGGUGAGGUAAUGGCUCACCAAGCCUACGAUACAUAGGGGGACUGAGAGGUUAGCCCCCCACACUGGUACUGAGACACGGACCAGACUCCUACGGGAGGCAGCAGUGAGGAAUAUUGGUCAAUGGGGGCAACCCUGAACCAGCCAUGCCGCGUGCAGGAAGACGGCUCUAUGAGUUGUAAACUGCUUUUAAACAGGGAUAAAGCACAGUAUGUAUACUGUGUUGAAGGUACUGUAAGAAUAAGGAUCGGCUAACUCCGUGCCAGCCGCCGCAGUAA